rnacentral:misc_RNA from 1 species
AAGUCGUAACAAGGUUUCCGUAGGUGAACCUGCGGAAGGAUCAUUAAAGAUUCGGGCUUCGCGCCUAUCUUUUUCUUCGGCUGUGCGCCCAUCUCGGGCCGCACGCCGUCGAAUCCAACCAUCAACACCUGUGAACUUAUCGGGGGCGCCUUUGCGCUUUCCGCUUCAUGUAUACAACUACCUUUAGUUAGGAAUGUAAAUUUACUAUAACAUAACAACUUUCAACAACGGAUCUCUUGGCUCUC